rnacentral:lncRNA from 1 species
UUCCAAGCUAGAGUGAGAAAUUUGGGUAAGUGGUCAUGUAUUCCAUAAAUCUUGCUUGAAUGAUGUUGUAUGAAGAAAGAAAAUCACCUCUCCCUUGUUCUUAAAAUUUUCAAAAAAAUGGGUCUUUACCCUUCAAAAAUUUUCUUUUUCUUUCCUUGAUUUGGGGGAAAAAAAAUGAGAUCUAUGUGGUGUUUGUUGAUGAUUGAUGUGUGUUGUGAAAG